CAGAGGAGGGGGGUUGGGGGCGGUAGGGGUGAGGCCCAGUCCAUGAGGGAGACCCCUGCCACUUUAAUGCAUUUAUUCAUCCCUGUAUGUUUCCUCCGUUGAACGUGAGCCCCAGGACCCCAGAACAUCUCACCCAUUUCUGCAUCCCCACACCCCAGCCUUGCCCAGUGAGUGGCGUGGGUCCCUGCUUAAUAAAGUUUGUGGGUGAGUGAAGGACUUUACAUACCAUCCCCCCUGCUCUUACUAUGAAGGGAGGAUCUGAAGUGAACGCCCCCUACCUUGCCUCUGAUCCCUGCUUCGCCCACUCCUUCUCUCCCCAAAGGUCUAUUGAACAUCAACUAUCUUUAACCAAACCUAGGGGGUGUUCGGGUGCUGGGCAUGUCAAGGUGACUUAGGAAUAGCCCAUAUUCCAAGACCCGUAGUCUGGGGCAGUAGACAAAUGUCAACAGAUUUUACCACGCAGUGUGGAGGGCUGUAGUAGGAGGAGUAGUAGUAGGAAUUAUUAUUAUUAUAAUUUUUGAACACUUAUUGUGUUUCAGACACCAUGCUGAGUACUUUACAUACAUUAUCAUUUAAACUUUGACACAACCCACUGUCACAUGUACUAUUAUUCUUUCGGUUUUUACAGAUGAAACAUCAAAUAAUUUGUCUAAUUAUUGCACCUGCUCUGGUGAGUGGUGGAGCCAGGAUUCGAACCCAGAGUAGGACGGGGGCUAUAUAAGCAAAUAUUCUACUCUCCCUUGAAAACUGGAUCCUGUAUAAGCUGCCAUCAUCUGCUGUACAUUUUCUUGCCGACUCUCGAACCAAGAGGACGGAGCCUCACUCAGCACACCGAGAACACGCAGGAACCAGAACAACAACAGGGGAGCUCACGGUUCCAGGAAGCCCCCGGAGCUCCCUGGUUUCUCCUUUCGGGCUCCCCUACUGCGAUGACUCUGGAAAUCUCCCUACAAUGGAACCCGCCAACCAUCCUACUUCCGAGACCACCUGUUUUAGGAUAUCUACAAUAACAUAUGGAUUUUAA